UAUUUUUGUUUUUUUAUUAAAUAACUAAAUGUAAAAUGUCCCCCCCACACUUAAAUCAGACAUUGUCCGCAAUGUAACAAUAAGCAUAAAGUGAUAAAAGGAAGGAACACACCCGAGGGAUCAAGGUGGAAUUAUAGUUGUAGCUUCCAUGUCUGGUGGUUUUGGUGGAGGCCUUUCCGUACUACGAAUGCACGAGACA
rnacentral:lncRNA from 1 species